CCGGCGCACGGGUGAGUAACGCGUAUGCAACCUGCCCGUUUCAGCGGGAUAACCCGGAGAAGUCCGGCCUAAUACCGCAUGUGGCCGAGGGGAGGCAUCUUCUUUCGGCCAAAGGAGGCGACUCCGGAGACGGAUGGGCAUGCGUGACAUUAGCUAGUUGGCGGGGUAACGGCCCACCAAGGCGACGAUGUCUAGGGGUUCUGAGAGGAAGGUCCCCCACACUGGUACUGAGACACGGACCAGACUCCUACGGAAGGCAGCAG
rnacentral:rRNA from 1 species